rnacentral:rRNA from 1 species
UACAGAGGUCUCACGCGUUGUUCGGAUUCAUUGGGCGUAAAGGGUGCGUAGGUGGCGCCGUAAGUCAGGUGUGAAAUUUCGGAGCUUAACUCCGAAACUGCAUUUGAUACUGCGGUGCUUGAGGACUGGAGAGGAGACUGGAAUUUACGGUGUAGCAGUGAAAUGCGUAGAGAUCGUAAGGAAGACCAGAGGCGAAGGCGGGUCUCUGGACAGUUCCUGACACUGAGGCACGAAGGCCAGGGGAGCAAACGGG